GUGUCAGCCGCCGCGGUAAUACGUAGGUGGCAAGCGUUGUUCGGAAUAACUGGGCGUAAAGGAUGCGUAGGCGGUUAUAUAAGUUAUGUGUUAAAUAUAUGGGCUUAACCCGUAGAAAGCACAUAAAACUGUAUGACUAGAGUGCAGGAGAGGUAAGUGGAAUUUCUAGUGUAGCGGUGAAAUGCGUAGAGAUUAGGAAGAACACCAGUGGCGAAGGCGACUUACUGGACUGUAACUGACGCUGAGGCAUGAGAGCAUGGGGAGCAAACAGGAUUAGAUACCCUGGUAGUCCAUGCUGUAAACGAUGGGUACUAGGUGUGGGUUGUGAAUAACAAUCCGUGCCGUCGCAAACGCAAUAAGUACCCCGCCUGAGGAGUACGAUCGCAAGAUUAAA
rnacentral:rRNA from 1 species